CUGAGAGCCUCCUCCCGCCAGUGCCACUCUCACUAACUUGUGUGUUCACGUUACUUUCCUCGCGUUUGGGAGUUUUUCAUUUGUAUUUCAUUGCCUCCGUGAAGAAUUCUCGGCGAUUGUGCAUUUAUGUUCUUGUUGGGAAGUGACAACUGAUUUACAGCUGUAAAAAUGAUCAAGAGACUGAUAUAUCUCACCUUUCUUAUAUCACUAUGGAUGGGUGGCAUGGCACUGAAGACAGUGAUAGUUGGAG